CCCCAAAAUAACUACCCCAACAUCACUCGCUCGGCUCAUUCAAGCAAUUGCUCUGUUUUUCCCCACUUCUUGUGGCUAGCUGGUGUUCGCUUCGCUACAUCACCUCUAGCUGUUGAGGCCUUCGUCACUCCGGCGCGACUGUAGGCAGCUCUUGCUUCUCGUUCGAUUUUUUUCGUCUCCUGUGACCCGCCAGCUCUCUCUCGGCUCUUAGUUCACUCUCCCGUCCGCCCGUAUAAACGUGGAGGUCACAUGCGUGGUACGGUAUCACAAAGAAGACCAGCCCAUUCCCCUUCCUCGUCCUCGUCCCCGGCCCUUUCCUCUUCCCCUGCCCUUUCAUCUAACCCUCAACCACUACAUGUUGAUGGACAACAUGGACACAUUGGCCCAUCCUCCAAACCUCAAGAACAUAUUAGGGGACAACUUGGAGAUAUGCGAACUGAAUUUACUUCAGUUCCAUCUCUUUUAGUUCCAUCUCCUUCGAUUGCAUCUCCUUCGGUUCCACCUUCUUCUUCAGUGCAACACUCGAAUGAUGAAGAAGAUAGCCGAUUCAUGAUAUGGCCAUGUGGAGAUUCAUUCACGGAUGCUACCUAUGUUGUGAGGGAACUUAAUAAAAUAGUCAAUAACUGUUGGAUGGGGCAGUAUAUUAGUUUCAGCAGCGCUCCAAAAUAAGUAAAGAAUUUGUGGUGGAAUGAGUUCAAGGUAAGUUUUGUCAUUCUAUUUUCUCACAAACUGAGUUCGGUGUAGCAUACUGAUGGUCAAGAAUGAAUUUUGUCACGAAUUAUUUGGUGCAUGGUAAUGGAUAUGUGACCUGUGACCCUCAUAAUAACUUUCGGUUGUUUUUCUAUUGAUUGUAGUGGAAGUUCAGGUGGGAUGAAAUGGAAGAGAAUGAAGUUAGAAGAAUUUUUAAGAAGAAAGCCGGUGAUCACAUGCAAAAUGUGAUGAAUAAAGCAAAGAGAAAUCAACGAAAGCCGGAUUUUAUUACAGCUGACAAUUGGACGGAAA